rnacentral:rRNA from 1 species
CCUACGGGUGGCAGCAGUGGGGAAUAUUGGACAAUGGGGGCAACCCUGAUCCAGCCAUGCCGCGUGUGUGAAGAAGGCCCUCGGGUUGUAAAGCACUUUCAGUGAGGAAGAACGCCUGGUGGUUAAUACCCAUCAGGAAAGACAUCACUCACAGAAGAAGCACCGGCUAACUCCGUGCCAGCAGCCGCGGUAAUACGGAGGGUGCGAGCGUUAAUCGGAAUUACUGGGCGUAAAGCGCGCGUAGGUGGCUUGAUAAGCCGGUUGUGAAAGCCCCGGGCUCAACCUGGGAACGGCAUCCGGAACUGUCAAGCUAGAGUGCAGGAGAGGAAGGUAGAAUUCCCGGUGUAGCGGUGAAAUGCGUAGAGAUCGGGAGGAAUACCAGUGGCGAAGGCGGCCUUAUGGACUGACACUGACACUGAGGUGCGAAAGCGUGGGUAGCAAACAGGAUUAGAUACCCUGGUAGUC